GCCCCGAUAGGGUAGUGGAUAUCCUUGGAGCCUGCGGAGCUCUAGACCUGGGUUCGAGUCCCAGUCGGGGCGC
rnacentral:tRNA from 1 species